GUCUACGGCCAUACCACCAUGAACAUGUCCAAUCUCAUCUGAUCUUGGAAGCUAAGCAGCAUUGGGCCUAGUUAGUACUUGGGUGGGAGAGCACCUGGGAAUACUGGGUGCUUUAGGCA
ensembl:rRNA 5S_rRNA 5S ribosomal RNA